rnacentral:tRNA from 1 species
CAGAAAAUAGUAUAAGUAUAUGUACAUAAAUUUUGGAGAUUUAAAGAGAAAGAUUUCUUUUCUGA